rnacentral:lncRNA from 1 species
ACUGGUCGGAAUCUUUCUCUGUGUGCCAUGUUCAUCACUCCUUUCUGUCUCUUUAUCGUUCUUUGUUAUUAUUGACAAGGGUUUUCUCCUCAGGAAAGUGAUGAAGAUGCCAGAAAAACAAAUGAGCUGAGAGUAGAAACUUCAACAAUAAGCCAUGUAAGACAAGAGUAUUGUUUUCUGUCUCUCUCAAAUUACAAUCUCUAAAGCCUUGUUUCUGUCCCAGACUCAAUGCUCCCCUUCUAGUCUCUUUUUUAAAUGAAUAUUGGGCAUGUGUGUUCUUCCAAGGAUAGUGAUGAAGACAGCCAAACAGAAGAGCAGAGAGCAGAAACUUUUAAUGAAGCACAGGUGAAACGAAACUACAACCAUUACUCUUUUUCUGUCUCUGAAACUACACAACUUUCACAGUCUUAUCUCUUCUUCUUUUUCUGAUGUUUUUGAUGACUAAUGGACUUUUGUUCUUCCUCUAUGGUCCAUCAUGUUCACAAAAGAGCUCUCAGAGCAAUGAUGACGCUGGCAGCCAAACAGAAGUGCAAAGAGCAGACCUUUCCACAUUGGAACAGGAAAAUGUCCCUCAAGACAUGGAUGUUGUUCACUCCCAUGGACUAACGGAAGGGCAGAGUUUCAUCUCCAUUCUCUCCUUUGCACUGAAACACAACACUACUGGUGUAUUAACUGAAGAUCUGCUGACACUUCUAAAGUUACAUUCUGCUGGGACAAGUGCAGUUCCAACAAGCAAGUACUUUUUGGAAAAACCAUUAGCUGGUAUUGUAGAUACAUUUCAACACCAUCACUACUGCAGAGUAUGUACUAAGUACCUUGGCACUUCUCAAUCAGAAGAAGGGACCUUAACAUGUGUGUCAUGUUUGUCAUCCAUCACAGCAAAAGACAGUUUUCACGGAGGACAUUUCUUUAUCAGUAUUCCGUUAAAGGAUCAACUUAAAGAUAUUCUUGAAAAUCAGGAAAGAACUUCAGCAUAUUGCUCACCUGUGGAACACCCACAUCAUUCAGAGAAGCAGAAAUGCAGUUGCACCUAG